GACGAACGCUGGCGGCGUGCUUAACACAUGCAAGUCGAACGGAAAGGCCCUGCUUUUGUGGGGUGCUCGAGUGGCGAACGGGUGAGUAACACGUGAGUAACCUGCCCUUGACUUUGGGAUAACUUCAGGAAACUGGGGCUAAUACCGGAUAGGAGCUCCUGCUGCAUGGUGGGGGUUGGAACGUUUCGGCGGUUGGGGAUGGACUCGCGGCUUAUCAGCUUGUUGGUGGGGUAGUGGCUUACCAAGGCUUUGACGGGUAGCCGGCCUGGGAGGGUGGCCGGCCACAUGGGGACUGAGAUAGGGCCCAGACUCCUACGGGAGGCAGCAGUGGGGAAUAUGACACAAUGGGCGGAAGCCGGAGGAAGAGACGCCGCGUGCGGGAUGACGGCCUGCGGGGUGUAAACCGCUUUCGCCUGUGACGAAGCGGGAGUGACGGUAAUGGGUAAAGAAGCACCGGCUAACUACGUG
rnacentral:rRNA from 1 species